AUGCCAUGGUGUGGGCACUCACUCUAAAGAUCUUUGUACCUUUCCCAUUCAUCAUAAAGGGAUUCAUUAUCUUUUUAUCUAGAGAUGUUGAGUUCUGCUCUAAGUUU